CGGCGGACGGGUGAGUAACGCGUGGAUGACCUACCUCAGAGUGGGGGAUAACCCGGGGAAACUCGGGCUAAUACCGCAUAACAUCGAGAGAUCAAAGGGGGCCGCAAGGCUCGCGCUUGGAGAGGGGUCCGCGUUCGAUUAGCUAGUUGGUAGGGUAAUGGCCUACCAAGGCGACGAUCGAUAGCCGGCCUGAGAGGGUGAUCGGCCACACUGGAACUGAGACACGGUCCAG
rnacentral:rRNA from 1 species